rnacentral:rRNA from 1 species
UACGUAGGGGGCAAGCGUUGUCCGGAUUUAUUGGGCGUAAAGAGCGUGUAGGCGGCUUUACAGGUCCGUUGUGAAAACUCGAGGCUCAACCUCGAGACGCCGGUGGAAACCGUAAGGCUAGAGUCCGGAAGAGGAGAGUGGAAUUCCUGGUGUAGCGGUGAAAUGCGCAGAUAUCAGGAGGAACACCCGUGGCGAAAGCGGCUCUCUGGGACGGUACUGACGCUGGGACGCGAAAGCGUGGGGAGCGAACAGG